rnacentral:rRNA from 1 species
UUCAACAACGGAUCUCUUGGUUCUCGCAUCGAUGAAGAACGCAGCGAAAUGCGAUAAGUAGUGUGAAUUGCAGAAUUCAGUGAAUCAUCGAAUCUUUGAACGCACAUUGCGCCCUCUGGUAUUCCGGAGGGCAUGCCUGUCCGAGCGUCGUCAAACC